rnacentral:rRNA from 1 species
UGGGGAAUAUUGGGCAAUGGGCGAAAGCCUGACCUAGCGACGCCGCGUGAGGGAAGAAGGUCUUCGGAUUGUAAACCUCUUUCAGCAGGGAAGAAGAAAGUGACGGUACCUGCAGAAGAAGUCACGGCUAACUACGUGCCAGCAGCCGCGGUAAUACGUAGGUGGCGAGCGUUAUCCGGAAUUACUGGGUGUAAAGGGUGUGUAGGCGGGAGUGCAAGUCAGGCGUGAAAUAUACGGGCUCAACCCGUAAACUGCGCUUGAAACUGUGCUUCUUGAGUGUGGGAGAGGUAAACGGAAUUCCUGGUGUAGUAGUGAAAUGCGUAGAUAUCAGGAGGAACACCGGUGGCGAAGGCGGUUUACUGGACCACAACUGACGCUGAGACACGAAAGCGUGGGGAGCAAACAGGAUUAGAUACCCUGGUAGU